UGAACGCUGGCGGCGUGCCUACUACAUGCAAGUCGAGCGAACGGACGCGAAGCUUGCUUUUCUGAUGUUAGCGGCGGACGGGUGAGUAACACGUGGAUAACCUACCUAUAAGACUGGGAUAACUUCGGGAAACCGGAGCUAAUACCGGAUAAUAUUUUGAACCGCAUGGUUCAAAAGUGAAAGACGGUCUUGCUGUCACUUAUAGAUGGAUCCGCGCUGCAUUAGCUAGUUGGUAAGGUAACGGCUUACCAAGGCAACGAUGCAUAGCCGACCUGAGAGGGUGAUCGGCCACACUGGAACUGAGACACGGUCCAGACUCCUACGGGAGGCAGCAGUAGGGAAUCUUCCGCAAUGGGCGAAAGCCUGACGGAGCAACGCCGCGUGAGUGAUGAAGGUCUUCGGAUCGUAAAACUCUGUUAUUAGGGAAGAACAUAUGUGUAAGUAACUGUGCACAUCUUGACGGUACCUAAUCAGAAAGCCACGGCUAACUACGUG
rnacentral:rRNA from 1 species